AUGCUGGGCGGCUACCUCCUCGCGGUCGUGCUGCUGCCGCUGGCCGCGGCCCAGGGGACGCAGUGGCAGUCCACCACAUGCGCCAGCGGCGCCUACGCGGCCAACAGCACCUAUCAGACCAAUCUGGGCCUGCUCGCCGCGGCGCUACCGGCCAACGUCUCGGCAUCGCCGGCCGGCUUCGCCACGGCCACCGUGGGCGUGGUGCCGGACCUCAUCUCCGCGCUGGCUCUCUGCCGUGGCGACGCCAACGCCUCGUCCUGCCGCGCCUGCGUCGCGGCGGGCUUCCCGGGCGCGCAGCGCGGCUGCCCCAACAGCAAGGACGUCGCCAUCUACCAGGACGACUGCGUCCUCCGCUUCUCCGACCAGCGCUUCCUGGACUUCAUAGGCGUGGAAUCCCCCGCCGGCACCUACUCCUCGGACGAGGAGAACCUCACAGCCCCUGCGGCCUGGUUCAACGCCGCCGCCCUCGCGCUCCUCAACGCGACGGUCGACCAGGCCGUGGCCGCUCGCGGCGACCCCGCCAAGAAGUACUUCGCCACGGGCGAGGGGAGCUUCGACGCGACGUACUACCCGAAGAUUUACGGGCUGGCGCAGUGCGUGCCGGAGAUGACGGCCGCGCAGUGCCGAGGCUGCCUCGGCGGCUUCAUCGGAGCCGCGCCGUGGUUCUUGUUCCAGAACGGGAAGUCUGGCGGCCGAGCUCUUGGGGUUUGGUGCAACCUGAGGUACGGCGUGAACCCGUUCUACACGGGCGGCGCCAUGGUGAAGCUCUCGGCGCCGCCGGCACCAGCACCCGCAGCCGUGCCUUCGAUUGCUACCGCAGAGACGCCAGCAGGGAGGAAAGGGAGAGUGGCAGGGAUCUCUACAGGCGCCGCUUGUUUCGCCGUCCUGAUGUUGAUUCUUGCAGUCUUUGCUUUUAUUCGCUUCAAGAGAAGAAAGGCCAAGAAGCAUGAUGACUCAUUUAACAAAAUGGCGAGGGGGAAGUGCACUAUCUACGAUUUUCCGACGCUGCAAGAGGCAACCGGAAACUUCUCAGAGAAGCAUAAGCUUGGAGAAGGCGGUUUCGGAACUGUAUACAAGGGAAACCUCCCGGACGGGCAGGAAAUAGCAGUGAAGAAACUUAUAGAUGGUGCUGGUGCUGGACAUGGACUGGAUCAGAUCCGCAAUGAAGUGCUGGUGUUGGCACAGCUCCAGCACAAGAACCUUGUUAGGCUACUGGGGUUUUGCUGGCAUCAGAAGGAGAUGCUACUUGUCUACGAAUACAUCAAGAACGGGAGCCUCGAUAACUUCCUUUUUGUAGAUGCUAGUCGAAGAAACACACUAAGCUGGGAUGAAGAGUACAACAUCAUUCUCGGAAUUGCCAAGGGCAUAAUGUAUCUUCACGAGGACUCGAGCGUAAGGAUCAUCCACCGAGACCUGAAAGCUAACAACAUUCUGAUUGAUGAUGCCAUGGAUCCGAAGAUUGCGGACUUCGGGUUAGCUAGGCUGCAAGUCGGAGGCCAUACUCAAACCAUGACAGCUAGAGUUGUUGGAACAUACGGGUAUAUGGCGCCAGAGUAUGCAAUACAUGGAAACGUGUCGCCAAAGAUCGAUAUUUUCAGCUUUGGUGUCUUGGUGCUUGAAAUUGUAACCAAGAGGAGGAACUGUGGCUCCGAUGAUUGCGAGACGGACACGGUGAAUCUCCUAAGUGAUGUAUGGACUUGUUGGACCAAAGGGACGAUAUUACAGAUGAUUGAUGAAUCACUUGAAGGACACCCCCGAAUCCAGGCGCUAAGAUGUAUCCACAUUGGGUUGCUGUGCGUCCAAGCAGACCCUGACGACAGGCCUGACAUCCCAUCCAUCAUCUUCAUGUUGAACAGGGAGGACAUGGAGCUUCAGCCACCGGCACAGCCUGCAUUCUUCUUCGGGGAAGACUCAAACUCACCUUCUCCGCCAUGCCAGCAGGGCAUCUACGUGUACAACCGCUCUGAGGUGGUCUUUGAAAACACCUCUGUGAAUGGGCUCACAAUUACUGACGCAUAUCCUAGAUAA
rnacentral:rRNA from 1 species